GUAUCCUACGGGGCGCAGCAGUGAGGAAUAUUGGUCAAUGGCCGCAGGGCUGAACCAGCCAAGUCGCGUGAGGGAUGACGGUCCUAUGGAUUGUAAACCUCUUUUGUCAGGGAGCAAAGGGCGCCACGUGUGGCGUUUUGCGAGUACCUGAAGCAAAAGAAUCGGCUAACUCCGUGCCAGCAGCAGCGGUAAUACGGAGGAUGCGGGCGUUAUCCGGAUUUAUUGGGUUUAAAGGGUGCGCAGGCGGAGUGGCA
rnacentral:rRNA from 1 species